AGAGUGAACGCUGGCGGCAGGCCUAACACAUGCAAGUCGAGCGGCAGCACGGGUAGCAAUACCUGGUGGCGAGCGGCGGACGGGUGAGGAAUACAUCGGAAUCUGCCUUGUCGUGGGGGAUAACGUAGGGAAACUUACGCUAAUACCGCAUACGACCGAGAGGUGAAAGCGGGGGAUCGCAAGACCUCGCGCGACAAGAUGAGCCGAUGUCGGAUUAGCUAGUUGGCGGGGUAAGAGCCCACCAAGGCGACGAUCCGUAGCUGGUCUGAGAGGAUGAUCAGCCACACUGGAACUGAGACACGGUCCAGACUCCUACGGGAGGCAGCAGUGGGGAAUAUUGGACAAUGGGCGCAAGCCUGAUCCAGCCAUGCCGCGUGGAUGAUGAAGGCCCUAGGGUUGUAAAGUCCUUUCGACGGGGAAGAUAAUGACGGUACCCGUAGAAGAAGCCCCGGCUAACUUCGUGCCAGCAGCCGC
rnacentral:rRNA from 1 species